GAUGAACGCUGGCGGCGUGCUUAACACAUGCAAGUCGAACGAAGCACUUUAUUUGAUUUCCUUCGGGACUGAUUAUUUUGUGACUGAGUGGCGGACGGGUGAGUAACGCGUGGGUAACCUGCCUUGUACAGGGGGAUAACAGUUGGAAACGGCUGCUAAUACCGCAUAAGCGCACGGCAUCGCAUGAUGCAGUGUGAAAAACUCUGGUGGUAUAAGAUGGACCCGCGUUGGAUUAGCUAGUUGGUGAGGUAACGGCCCACCAAGGCGACGAUCCAUAGCCGACCUGAGAGGGUGACCGGCCACAUUGGGACUGAGACACGGCCCAAACUCCUACGGGAGGCAGCAGUGGGGAAUAUUGCACAAUGGGCGAAAGCCUGAUGCAGCGACGCCGCGUGAGCGAAGAAGUAUUUCGGUAUGUAAAGCUCUAUCAGCAGGGAAGAUA
rnacentral:rRNA from 1 species